rnacentral:rRNA from 1 species
CAAUAGCGUAUAUUAAAGUUGUUGCAGUUAAAAAGCUCGUAGUUGGAUUUCUGGUGGGAGCGAUCGGUCUGGCGCUUAGCGCGAGUACUUGCAUCGUCUCCGGCCAUCCUUGGGGAGAGUCUGUCUGGCAUUAAGUUGUCGGGCAGAGGAUCCUCAUCGUUUACUGUGAAAAAAUUAGAGUGUUCAAAGCGGGCUUACGCUUGAAUAUAUUAGCAUGGAAUAACACCAUAGGACUCCUGUCCUAUUUCGUUGGUCUCGGGACGGGAGUAAUGAUUAAGAGGAACAGUUGGGGGCAUUCGUAUUUCAUUGUCAGAGGUGAAAUUCUUGGAUUUAUGAAAGACGAACUUCUGCGAAAGCAUUUGCCAAGGAUGUUUUCAUUGA